GCGCCUGUAAUGUAGUGGAAACAUGUAGGCCUCCGGAGCCUAAUUCCUGGGUUCGAAUCCCAGCAGGCGCG
rnacentral:tRNA from 1 species